UAAAGUGUCACAAUGUGCUGUUUAUGGAGGAACAUGCACAGGGAUGAAAACAAGCAACUUUACAACAAUAACAGAUGAAACACAGCACCUGAGCACCAAGGUGAUGUUCACUGAAAUCAAAGUCAUCAGCUUUUCAAGGCAAGAACAGCCAUGCAUUUGUGCUAUACCUGUCCCAGAGAAACGCUAGUCCACAGUGAGCAUUCCCAUACAGUACGUAAUGCAGAUGUGUUCUUGGAGUUUGAAUGCGCUGAAGAAGGAAAGCCAGUAAUUUCUGAUAAGUACUCAGGUCACUGACUGCAGACUCUUCAGGCGCCAACUCCUCUGCAGCAGUACUAGACGCUGAUUACAAAUGUGACACGUUCUGCCAGCUGCAAGAAAAGACCUCUACAAAUCCCCCUGAAUUCAACAGUGAUAAACUGAGGCCAGCUAUGCAAAACUUCUGUCUGAGACAAGCCAAGGUCAAGUUCACACAAGAGGAAAGAAAUCCAAGACAAUCAAAGGGAAAAGUAAGACCAAAAAGAGGCCAUUGCAUGCUGAUGCUCUCAAAGACUGAUGAUGUUUCCUAUCCUAGCACAAGUACGACUGAAUGAAUUUAUGAGACUUCAAAGGCAAAAGUUUUCUUUCGAAAGUGUGGGCAAAGCUAGAGGAUCUUGCGCACAAGUAUGAGUAUGCAACUAUGCAAAACAAGCACUGGCAUCCGUCAUUUGCCAUUUCUAUUAACAAGUGCUCAGAAGUCUGGUCUGGGAGGCCUUGGAAGAUUCAGUGCGUGCAAACAGCCAAUAAGUAACAAGGGUGACAGUAAUUUCUAGGAACAUGCAAAGCUUCCCUCUGCUUCACCCCUUUUCAAGACAUGAUGAAAAGACUUUCAAGGCUUUAAAAUGAAUGUGUUUAAAAUGUCAGAGAAACUGGACUGCUGGAUCUGUUGGAUAUUUCAUUCCAAUAGGGGGUGUAGUCUUAUUUAUGCAUAAAGAAAUAUAAUCAGAGGAGAGUAGUUUUAUGUGUUUGUAUGAAUACAUAAACUGGAUCUCUUAGAAACUAGCCUUGCUAGCUUCUUGCAUUCUCUCCUCUAGUUUCCCUGUACUUGUCUGGAAUGGCCUCACAUCCCAGCUGUCCUUCAUCAGGUCUCUCUGCUUUCCCAAUAACAAUAUAUUGACAAAAACUUACUUUCUCUUGUCCUUCAACUCUUCAUCUUUGCCCAAGGCAGAACAACCAUUAGCCAAGAAGCAAGGGCACAACAUGUGGACCAGUACAUCAAACUAUAUUUAUUUUAUCUUUGCUUGGUAAACAUCAUUUUUGCUUCUCCUCUCUGCUGCCCCAUGCGCCAAAGAGGCAUCCUAAUUCAUGACAUUUGUGCAUGUAUCUGCUAGUGCAGAAGCCACAAAUAGCUCAGAAAUGAGCUCAGCCCCUCUGCUAAGCCUAUGGGGAGGAAGGAGCACUGGUAAAAAGGAAGUGCAGCUUGAAUUAUAGCUCUCCAUUUUGCUUGAUAAAACAUCACAGGAUAUGAGGCUAACAACUGAGUGGCCCUUUCUUUGUACAGUAAGCACGCAAGGUUGUGCUAGCAAGAUUAAUUUGUUUCCCAUUUGUCACCCUUUCAUCGCAGUGUGGGGGCUCUGAAUUGUUACAUAUCUUUAGGCACGAAGCUGGGCACGUGCAAACUAAGAGACCCAGAAAACCCCUGUUGAGCACUUUUGCUGCCCCUUCCUUCCCCCUGUCUUACCAGAAGCAAGCGAAUACUCACUGCUGCUGUCUGAUCCCACUUCUGCUCUCAGCCCCACAGCAGCGCUCACCAGGCACCCUGCCAGGGCAGCAGCAUCCCUGCAGGCAUCAGGCUGUCCUGCUGCGGUUACCUGGCAUGUUUGGGAAACUGCUUCAGGUACCUGGCUUCUGACAGCUAAUGCUCACCAAUUACAUUAUGUCUCACCGCUAAUCUACUGCUUGAUCUAUUUAUUUGUCCAUUUGCUGACUCAUCUCUUUUCCCAUUGAUACCUGACGUAUUAAAUAACUUAGCUAACUCUUUCACUGAUAUGCUGCUCUCUGCUACUUAUCUGCUGAAUCAAUUCAUUGCUACUUGCUUUUUGGUUCCUCUAGGUAGCUGACUUAGAUGGUAACUUUACUGAUUCCCUUCCUUUUAAACAGACAUUGUUGCCAACUCUGCUUCCUCAGUUAAUAAUUUCAUUUAAUUGUUGGUUUCUUUUGGUCAGCUGCUAAACUAUGCUCUUGACUGCUUGAGUCUCACCCUGCAAACUCACUACCCCGUACAUUUGCUCUCCUCUCAUCACCCCUGUAACAAUUUUCCUUUCUGUUACUCUCUGUCCCCCUUCUCCUUGGUCCUUCCUUUCCCAUACUUUCUUUCAUGUCAUCUGUCAUUCGUACUGUCUUUUCAUUUUCUCCCUUUGACUACCCGUACCACACCACACCCUUGACUACCAUUUUGCCACCCAAAGCAGUCCUUCCCCUCCUUGUAUCUGCCCAUUAUUUGUCAUCACCAUAUAUAAAGACAAUGCAAUUACAUAAAUUAUACUUGUACUUACACUUUAAAUAUAGGGUUUUGAUACUUGUAAUUGUCACCGAUCCACAGCACAGGUUGGAAAGUUUGCAAUGUGACCGGCAGCAACUGUACAAUACAGCUUAAUUAUUAAACCUGGACUGGAAUAGCAUUUGUAUGAAGCAGAAGAGCUGGAGGAUAAGAAGUAAAUAAAAGUAUAUGAAACUCUAGUAAUAAUAUACAGAAAAGCAAAGCAAAAGCUAAUUACUAGAGAUGAUGAAUAGAUCAUUUUAAACUUGUCAAGAUACCCUUUUGCACCUGGUCUGCAAAACAAGCAGCUUUUGCUUUUGCACUAAAAUAGAAAAUUGAAAGCAAUGAUGUUUUGCUCUCUGUUGUUUUUGUUUUGUUUUGGUUUGGUUUUUUAUUUUGAAUUUUCUUUGUCACUGAAUGUAAACAGGAGAAUGAUCAGGUUUGUCCCUCUUUUUCCAACCUCUGUGUAAUUUUGAAAAUGCUGAUAAGUUUUAAAAGUUACCCAGAGGAAAAAUAAAGGUGGCAAUCUUUCCACUUUGUAACUUCUCCAAAAGUGGUAGAAAAAUUUCAAAGUUAGGUAACCCAAUCUGUCAGAUUCUGAAGAAUACAAAAUUCAUUGUGAAAUUGGGUUUAUUUAACAAAAAUUCAGCAACUUAAAAAAAAUUACCAAAACUGUUUUGAAAUUUCAAAAAUUCCCCUUCUGAAAUUAUUGCUCCUUUUAUUUUUUUAAUUCUAUACUGCAAUACAGUAUUUAGAAAACUGUAGUCAAGCACCCUUUCAAACUUUUAAAAUUUUGAGUAACCUGCUGCAGUUUUAUUUAAAUUUUCAUUUCUAGAUAUUUCAAAACAGGCACGAUUUCCUCUCUUCUGGUGCCAAGGCAAAUUAUGAAAUCUCAGUAAUCUUUCCACAGUACAUUCCUUUUACAGAUCUAGUGAUGCAUAUGCUUUACAGGUCAUCUUUUUUGCCUUCCUUUAUUCCAAUGCAAAUUUAUAUUAUCUGAAAUAAAACCUGUAUUU